UUGGGAUUUUAGCAGUGGAGAGGGAUGGCAGUAUUAACUGCUACCAAAUAUCCCAGCCCUUCUGGAGUUCCGCAGGCUGGAUUCCAGGUCUCUGCAGGUUAGAGGCUGAGCAUCCCUGAGUUAAGCCAUAGCUUGUUUUGACCUUACAAACAUGAUUAUAGUAUUAUUCUCCUUCAUAGCUGAAAUAGAAUGCAUCAAAUUGUGCUCUCAGUUAUUUUAGAUCAAAAUCUGAAAUGUCAGAUUUACAUCCAGGAUGGACUACAGAAAAUAAAGGGAAAUUUGAAGAGAAGACAAGCAAGCCUCUGUGGACACGUGCAUAAUCUAUCUUACUCUAAAAUUUGCUGGUUAUAUGGCUACAAACAAUCCCUCUCAGUGUUAUGGUAGGUGAAGACUGAAAUCUCUUCAUGCUCAGGUGAUUUUUUUGGACACAGCAGUACACCAUCACAUUAAUUUAGC
rnacentral:lncRNA from 1 species